ACGGAAGGCAGCAGUGGGGAAUAUUGGGCAAUGGGCGAAAGCCUGACCCAGCAACGCCGCGUGAAGGAAGAAGGUCUUCGGAUUGUAAACUUCUUUUAUGUAGGACGAAGAAAGUGACGGUACUACAUGAAUAAGCCACGGCUAACUACGUGCCAGCAGCCGCGGUAAUACGUAGGUGGCAAGCGUUAUCCGGAUUUACUGGGUGUAAAGGGCGCGUAGGCGGGGAUGCAAGUCAGAUGUGAAAUAUGCCGGCUCAACUGGCAGACUGCAUUUGAAACUGCGGUUCUUGAGUGAAGUAGAGGUAAGCGGAAUUCCUAGUGUAGCGGUGAAAUGCGUAGAUAUUAGGAGGAACAUCAGUGGCGAGGGCGGCUUACUGGGCUUUAACUGACGCUGAGGCUCGAAAGCGUGGGGAGCAAACAGGAUUAGAUACCCUGGUA
rnacentral:rRNA from 1 species